GCAUUAAUGGGGUAGUGGUAACCUGGGUCGUUGCCACGUGGACGUGUGAACACAUUGCUCGACCCGCCGGGGGUUCGAUUCCCUCUUAAUGCA